UGAUGCCAGGGGCAAAAGGUCUUUCACCCACAUGAGCUCGCUCAUAGGUGUGUGAAAGACCUUAGGACCCGCCCCGAUAUGAGCAUAAAAGUGGGAUGAUAAUCCCACGAUAUGCGAAUAUUGGGUAGGAUUGUGUGAGUGCGAAGCACGGAACAAUCCGUAGGCGUCA
rfam:Bacteroides pectinophilus CAG:437 genomic scaffold, scf95